CGCCAGCACGGCCCAGGGGGCGGGUGUUCGCUCGGAGCUGCUUCUGCGACCUGCUGAGAGUGCGUAUCACAGGUUCAGUUGGGUGGGAAAAGAGCUCAGACGCAUUCGAGUCUAACCUGUGACCGAACCAUCACCUUGUCAAUUACACCAUGGCAUUAAUUGCCAUGUCCAGUCUUUCCCUGCGCACCUCCAGCGACGGUAACUCCACCACCUCUCCGGGCAGUCCAGACCAAUGUCUACUCACCCUUUCUGUGAACAAAUCCUCCUAAUGUCCAACCUAGACCCCUGCUGGCGCAGUUUUAAGACUUAAGACUGUUGUUCUGUCCCUACCCAGGAGAAGAGGCUGUACGCCACCUGACUCCAACCUCCUUUCAGUUGUAGCCCUGCAGUUUUGCCACACUUUCUACCGCUUUAUACAACUGAAAACUUCCAAGUGUAUAGGCCAGAAUAUGUGUAGUAGUAAUAAAAAAAUAAAUUUAAAAAGCCUACAUGCCAAAUGUGGUUUGAAUCACAGUCUGCAGAAAGCUGUCAUCCAAAGAAGGGAUAGUGUUGUUUUGGAGACUUUUUGCACCAGAUUAGCCCUUUGCUUUCUGUGGCUGCAGAGGUCUAGCAGUACAUGUUUGAAAGAUGGAUUCAUUAUACCAUCAGAACAAACUCAGUCAACUGAGCAAACAUACUUUGUGCAGAAUAUGUCUUACUUCUGACAGCACUCAGCUCUUUUCCUGUUUGCAAACAUCUUCGCGCUGACACAAAAAGAAGUGUUUUGUCCAUCGGCCUCUCCCUUUUACUUUAAGGUGCACAAGAAGCUGGGAGGAGCAUAGUCAGGACAGCUGACCAAAACUGUCCAAGGGGAUAUUCCAUCCUCAGAAAGCAUGCUCAGUGUAUGAACUGGGGGAACCGGCCCGGAGCUGCUGAUCACUGCUGAAGAAUGGGCUGGGCAUCAGUCAGCAGAUGCUUUAAUAUUAAUUUAAAUGUUCUAAGUGAAAACCUGAGGUGCUACUGGCUCAAGACCUGACUGGACACAAUCCCUUCUGUUGCAAAAGUACUGAAAGAACUGACAGCCUUUGCUAGAAGCGAAUGGUCUCAUGGCAGAAGGGCAGAGUUGUUGCCCAGGCACAGCUGAUGAGCAUCACUUGAGAUGUCCUAGAGAAUUCAGGAUGUCUUUGAUAUCCAAUACUGAGGACCUGCAGGUAUGACAUAAAUCCUAUGAGAGACAUGCACCUUUGGUGCCUUUGUAGAGGCCACUGAAUCACUCUUGUUGACCAUUGAAAUGAACAUGGUCCAGAUGGAUCUCAAGUCAGUGGAUGUGAAAUGGCAGAAUUCUGUCAUGUGCAAUGGAAACUCUCUCUGGAGCCAACAGAUCACUCAGCAUACAUCAGAGAUAGGGAAGCUGAAGUAUGGCUGAGUGGCUGGCAUUGGGAUAACUACACUUCAGGUGAUUCCUGCUGCAACUCUUAUCUGAAAGAUGAUGGAAGACUGUGAGAUAAGAGGACAUAAUAUUGUGACUGGAUCUAUGAACCUUAUUCUGUGCAGGUUCCUCCAUAGCUGAGAGAAAACUGGAAUUUGCCAAUGAAGAUACAGAACAGACUGCUUUAAUGGAUUUGGGUCAGUUAAAAACUGAAAAGUGAGACUAAUUGUGUACUAAUGGUCUCAUGAUAGUCCUUUGUGGGGAUUCCCUUUGUCUAGUCCCAGGCAAGUUUAACAUAGAGUUUCUGAGACUGAAAGGCUCUGUGUGAAACUGGUCACCUCAGCAGUGCUCAUGAUGGGAUUUAGUAGUCCAAAAGUAGCUUACUCAAGAUCUUUUUUCCAUUUAGUGGACUGAAAAUGUCAAUCUGAUAAAUUUACCACAGCCCAAAUUAUGCAACAAUUGUCCAGGAAUACAAAGAAGAGGGAACCACUGACUUCUCACUCCAUAUACCCACAGAACCUAAGGUUGAAUUUUGUCAUGUGGAUGCAUGUGUUAUGUCUACAUUGCCUGCUGAGUCAGGAAGUUCAGUGCAAGCCAUGCAUCUUGCAACUGCUGCAAGCGAACUCCUUCAUGGCUUGGCAAUUAUCUGUGUUGCUCUUUAACCCAGACAAAGAGUGUGGAACUCAGCUCAAGAAUAAAGUUCAAACUAUCUCUCUGGACUUUUUAAAUAUCUCCAUAUCCUAAGGGACAUCCUGCUGAGAGACUUGAAAAGUACACAACUAACCUCUUAGUAAAAGAAUUAAUAUUGCCUGCACACUUGUUGCUUCUUUGACUGACCUUGAUGGUUUCAGAAAAGUAAUAAAGAAGGAAGACUGCAUUAGACCUCUGGAAACCUUUGUAAAGCUGUUCUGUCCACAGCUGCAUAGGGCUUUCCAAAGGAGUUUGUCCUACACGCAGUUGCUGCAGAGAUGGGAACAGCACACUAUCCCAGAAGGUUAAUGGCGAAGGGCACCUGAUCUAUUUGUGAAUCAGAGGCUAUUCCAAUGGAGAAUACUAGCUGAAGAAGUGUUUAGAUAUUAAGUGCAAAAAAAAAUCGGUAAAAUAUUUUUACCAAAGAUGUAAACUCUUGUCCAAAAUAACUGCUCCAUUUCCUGAAAUUUACAAGUGCAAUUAGGACAUUAACAACCAGAUUAACAGGCAGUAUUAGGAAGGCUCCUGGAAGCAUACCAAGUAUUGCGUGUACAACUGCACAUUCAGUUAGAGAGCUGUUAGAAUAUAUGGGCAUUUCA